rnacentral:rRNA from 1 species
CACGUAGGGGCCAAGCGUUGUCCGGAUUUAUUGGGCGUAAAGAGCUCGUAGGCGGUUGGGUAAGUCGGGUGUGAAAACUCCAGGCUCAACUUGGAGACGCCACCCGAUACUGCUCUGACUUGAGCUCGGUAGGGGAGUGGGGAAUUCCUGGUGUAGCGGUGAAAUGCGCAGAUAUCAGGAGGAACACCGGUGGCGAAGGCGCCACUCUGGGCCGAAACUGACGCUGAGGAGCGAAAGCGUGGGUAGCAAACAGG